UACGGAGGAUCCGAGCGUUAUCCGGAUUUAUUGGGUUUAAAGGGUGCGUAGGCUGCUUUUUAAGUCAGCGGUGAAAUUUUGCAGCUUAACUGUAAAAGUGCCUUCGAAACUGGUUUCCUUGAGUGUAGAUGAAGUAGGCGGAAUUUGUGGUGUAGCGGUGAAAUGCAUAGGUAUCACGAGGAACUCCGAUUGCGCAGGCAGCUUACUAAACUACUACUGACGCUCAGGCACGAAGGCGUGGGGAUCAAACAGGAUUAGAUACUCGUGUAGU
rnacentral:rRNA from 1 species